rnacentral:rRNA from 1 species
GACGAACGCUGGCGGCGUGCUUAACACAUGCAAGUCGAGCGGAGCGGCGAACGGGUGAGUAACGCGUGAGUAACUGCCCCCCUCUCUGGGAUAACAGUUGGAAACGGCUGCUAAUACCGGAUAGUGGGGGAUGACUCGCGUCCUAUCAGCUUGUUGGGGGGGUAGUGGCCUACCAAGGCGACGACGGGUAGCCGGCCUGGGAGGGCAACAGGCCACAUUGGGCUGAGAUAGGGAUCAAACUCCUACGGGGGGCAGCAGGGGGGAAUAUUGCAGAAGGGGGGAAACCGUGAGUCAGCAACGCCGCGUGCGUGAUGACGGCCUUCGGGUUGUAAACCGAUUUCAGCCAUGACGCGGUAGUGGCAGAAGAAGCACCGGCUAACUACGUGCCAGCAGCCGCGGUAAUAC